ACCUCAUGCCACUCGUUUUGUUUCUCCUGCAUAGCGUGCAGCUCGAAGACGCACCAGACGUUCGAUCACGAUCCAUGUAAGUGCCCGCUCCAUUCGUUGCAUUCGCUAUCGAUUUGGUGUGAAUUUUGCAGCCGUUGCUGGAACAGAUUGUCCGACGGGACCUGGCCAUCGUGCUGCGCCGCACCCAAUUCAAGAUGGACAAGGUGCUUGACUGGAUGCAGAGCGCAGCUUCAGUUUAAACCUCCUGUUGCCUUUAGAUUCUAUGGAGAAGCUCUCAAUAAUUGUGCUGAUUGAUGAUGAUUGAUGAUCUGCUCUUCCAACUGCUUCAGUGGCAAGGGAACCUUUUGGAACUGUAGCAUCAUCCGAAUUCAGAACUGAUUACUCUAUUGUGCUACUGAAUUCAGUUGGAACUGUAGCUGACCUUUGUGCUAAAUCCUUUGCAUGUUGUCUGGUGUGAUGGCAUUUGCUGCUUGAAGCUUAUCUUCAGUAGGAGCAUGGAACGUGCUUUGCCCCUGUAGUUCAUUAUGGAUUAUAGUAUUUCACCAUUACUUCGGCAAAGAAUUGAAGGUGAGUUCUCAUUUCCCCUUGAAUAUCUCUCUAGAAUUUUUUGGUAUAAAAAAUAUCGUGGUCAUGAGUAGGACCAUUGACUAGCAUAGACAGAUUACCACAAACAUAUAUUCGUAAAUGUAUUGUUCCUACAAGACUGAAAGCCUCAUUUGCUAAAUUUGAAGCGCUUGUCAAGAAUUUUACAUCCUAUGUGUACAUCCCCAACGACCGCCAGUGGCCUUCUUGGCACCUCAGCGCCUGCAGACCUUCAUAGACCAUGAGUUUUUGUAGAUCUUGUAGCUGGAAAGAAUUAUAGUAAUCCAAUUGUCUAAUCACGUACUUUUUAUGCAACUGGAAUUUUACAUGUUCCUUCAGUGUGUUCUGAAUUAUGAGGGAGGUAUCUCUUCUUCAGCUCGCCCUUUUAGACUAUGUGUUCUGAAUUAUUGUGAUUCAUAGCAGUUUAGUUUCUUUUGCCAUUUGAACUGGAGUCAUAUUGAAUGCUAGAAUUCUUAGUUAAUAAUGCUAGAAUUCUUAGUCAAUCAAAUGGUCUAUCUCUGUUAUGAAGAUCAUGUGCUUUUCCUCCUUAUCAAUCUGGUCGAGGUGUUCAUCCUUCCAAUCCUCCCACUUGUUAUUGCUCAAUCUUUGCAUUGUUCUUUCCUUGGAAUGCACGGAUGAAACAUGUCGAUGAAGUGUUAAAAAAAAUUGUUGCACCCUGUUGUGUCAUUGGAGAGACAGUUGGAAGGGAAAAACAAUGGAUUGCGUCAAUAAUGGAUUUUGCAACUGAAGUCUGCAACUAAUAUAAUCACUAUUCCCCGUCUGCAAAUAGGGCAAUUUUUAUACAAUAGAAAACAUUGCCUAAGCUGCUCAUUUUUUCAGAAAAUGUUAGCAAUAGAGAAACAUUCUGUUACACAGAUUUUGUUACACUCCUCACACAUUGAGUCAUAAAGGCCAGUGUCUUUUUCCCUAAUUUUCCAUGAUGGAUAUUAGCAUCCAGCUUGUGUAAAUGUAUAUAUGCAUACAUCCAUCCUAACAUCUGUUAGAUCUUAAGAUUUAUUAUACUGCUCUUUUUAAUAGCUCUGAUUUAGAGUGUGUUUUUUCCCUUCUCAGUGCUAUCAAAUUUGAGAUAAUUGUGAAAAUUCUCACUCCAGUGACAAGCAUCUAUCUAUUGUUACAAGCACUUAAGAAUUGAGCUUGUGAGAAUAUUGCAUCUGAGGGCACUCUUCAACUAUGCCUUUGAGCUAAUAUCUCAAAUUGUCUCGGGGGGCAGUCUUUUUCCCUGUCUCAAAU